rnacentral:piRNA from 1 species
CUCUCUUUCAAAAUUUUUCUUGGUGCCAAAG